AUUGAACGCUGGCGGCAGGCCUAACACAUGCAAGUCGAGCGGAUGAAGGGAGCUUGCUCCUGGAUUCAGCGGCGGACGGGUGAGUAAUGCCUAGGAAUCUGCCUGGUAGUGGGGGAUAACGUCCGGAAACGGGCGCUAAUACCGCAUACGUCCUGAGGGAGAAAGUGGGGGAUCUUCGGACCUCACGCUAUCAGAUGAGCCUAGGUCGGAUUAGCUAGUUGGUGGGGUAAAGGCCUACCAAGGCGACGAUCCGUAACUGGUCUGAGAGGAUGAUCAGUCACACUGGAACGGGGACACGGUCCCAGCUCCUAAGGGAAGGAGCAGUGGGGAAAAUUGGGCAAAGGGGGAAAGCCUGGUCCAACCAUGGCGCGUGUGUGAAGAAGGGCUUCGGAUUGGAAAGCACUUUAAGUUGGGAGGAAGGGCAGUAAGUUAAUACCUUGCUGUUUUGACGUUACCAACAGAAUAAGCACCGGCUAACUUCGUG
rnacentral:rRNA from 1 species